UUUCUGAUAUCUCUGUUCCUUUGCAGUGGUUAUACACCGUGUGCAAAUUUUCAUUUAUUUUAAAAAAGUGGCUUUUCAGGUGUUUAUUGGUUAAUUAGAAAACAUAUUUUUUUUCUUUUAAAAUCUUUUUGGAACCUUGCUUAUCGACAGAAUCACCAUAAGAGAGAUAGGCUGUUUAGGGCUUUAAGCACAUGUCGACUCUAACCGUUCUAUUUACUUCAAACAUUUGUUAUUAAUCGUAGCGAUUAGGGGUUUAUAAAUAUUAAUUUACAUUUUAUUAAAAAAAAAUUUGGUAAAGCAUAAAUAUAUAUAUAUAUAUAUAACCCUUAACAGGAACCAUGUUACCGUUAACCCUUUGGUUUAAAGGAACGUUGGCGCCAAAAACAGUAAAGGGAGGGAAAGAAGAGCGCCAAAAAAUGAACAAAACUCUAACAAGAAGUCGAUAUUCAAAGAUCAUAACAUCUCUAAAGAAAGCAAGAUCACGAUCAUUCGUAAAAAUGUUUUCCUCAUUGUCUUCACUACCUCAAUCUCAAUUACCAAUUCCGCCAAAAAAUUCCCCAUCCAUGAACAAUAACAACAACAAUAUCCAAAUCUUAAAAACCCAAGUUUGUAUCAUUGGAAGUGGUCCUGCUGCUCAUACUGCUGCAAUUUACACAUCAAGAGCUGAUUUAAAACCCAUUCUUUUCGAAGGGUUUAUGGCUAAUGAUAUUGCACCUGGUGGACAACUUACUACUACAUCAGAAGUUGAAAACUUUCCAGGCUUUCCUGAAGGAAUACAAGGAUUAGAUCUUACUGAUCGCUUUCGCCAACAAUCUAUUCGUUUCGGAACCGAAAUCUUUACGGAGACUGUUACGAAUGUUGAUUUCUCUACUACCCCUUUUAGGAUUUAUUCAGAUUCUAAAUUGGUUGAGGCGGACACGGUGAUUGUAGCUACUGGUGCAAUUGCAAAGAAGUUGAAGUUUCCUGGAUCGGAAGUGUUUUGGAAUCGGGGGAUUUCAGCUUGUGCUGUUUGUGAUGGGGCGGCACCGAUUUUUAGGGAUAAGCCGCUGGCUGUUGUUGGAGGUGGAGAUUCGGCAAUGGAAGAAGCGAAUUUCUUAACUAAAUUUGGAUCUAAGGUUUAUAUAAUUCAUAGGAGGGAUACGUUUAGAGCAUCAAAGAUUAUGCAGAAGAAGGCUGCAAGUAAUCCUAAGAUUGAGGUUAUUUUGAAUUCGGUUGUGGAAGAAGCUUAUGGAGAUGGGGUUAGAGGGGUUUUGGGAUGGUUGAAGGUUAAGAAUUUAGUGAGUGGGGAUAAAAUGGAUGUGAAGGUUUCGGGUUUGUUUUUCGCUAUUGGACAUGAACCUGCAACUAAGUUCUUAGAUGGUCAAUUGGAGCUUGAUCCUGAUGGGUAUAUUGUGACGAAACCUGGGACAACGGAGACGAGCAUCCAAGGGAUAUUUGCAGCUGGAGAUGUGCAGGAUAAGAAAUAUAGGCAAGCCAUUACUGCAGCUGGUACAGGAUGUAUGGCAGCUUUGGAAUUGGAACAUUACCUACAGGAGAAUGGAUAUCAGGAUGGGAAGACAGAUUGACCAUCUCUGGGGAUACUCAGUCCUUAGCUUCACUGGGAACUCAUCAGUACACUGUUGAUUAAGAACAAUUAUAGGCUGAGCAAAACAGCCACCAUAAAAAUAGUUCUAAGCUCUUAUCAUACAUAUCCGGGCACGUGCGUCGUUCUGUCUACAGUACAUAGCACUGCUAGAUUUAUUUAUGCUUUCAUUUGGCUUAUUAGUGGCAUCUUGAAACUGACCGACAUGCACAUAGCCAUGCUUAUCUGAUGAGUUCCAAAUUCCCGGUUGACAAGUCAGUCGACUUUAAUCAUAAUCAAUCCGCAUUGUUGGAUCUCGCACGGCAUUAAUAGCUAAAGUUAGAUAGAGAAACAUCAAAUCUUUAGUGGAAGUGUCAAAACGAUAGAAAAGGAAGAAAAUUUUACUUAAAGAAGAUGUGUUGAAGCGACUGCCGAAUUGGCUCAACUAAGUAAUGGAUCUAAUUGUCACUUGAGUGCUGUCUUUUAACCCUGCUAUGCCGGUGAAUAUAGGUGUUCAUUUCAGAUCGUGAAGUAGAAGCCUACAAGUAGCAUAUGGAAUUAUCAGUGUGUUGCUUUUAUUCUCUUCCCAUGUUUUAUUGUGUUUAUACUAUUUUAGACAACAAGUUGAUUAUCAAAUCAAUAAACAGUAAGAAUUCUAUUUGUCUGUAGUUCUUUCAGU